GCCGCCUUAGCUCAGUUGGCAGAGCGUCUCACUCGUAAUGAGAAGGUCCCGGGUUCAAUUCCCGGAGGCGGCCCCA
rnacentral:tRNA from 2 species